GUUCUUCCGCAGCACAUAUACUGAAAUUGGAAUGAUACGAAGAAAAUGUGUGGCCCCUGCACAAAGAUAACACAUAAAUUCAUGAAACAUUCCAUAUUUUU
rnacentral:snRNA from 1 species